rnacentral:rRNA from 1 species
AAGUCGUAACAAGGUUUCCGUAGGUGAACCUGCGGAAGGAUCAUUAAUGAACCUUUGAGGAUUGAGCUGGUCUUUUUGACAAGUGCUCGUCCUCUUAUCCUUUAUACACCUGUGCAUCUUUUAGAGAGAUCAAGCCGGGACUAGUAGGUCUCUUGACUGAAGGUUCUGACCCUCUCUCUGAUUUUACAUACACUUUAUUUAAUCUUUGGAAUAAUCAAUUUAUAAAUGAUAACAACUUUUAACAACGGAUCUCUUGGCUCUCGCAUCGAUGAAGAACGCAGCGAAAUGCGAUAAGUAAUGUGAAUUGCAGAAUUCAGUGAAUCAUCGAAUCUUUGAACGCACCUUGCGCUCCUUGGUACUCCGAGGAGCACGCCUGUUCGAGUGUCAUGAAGCUCUCAAGCAAGUCUUUUUAUUAAGACGAGUUUGGACUUGAACUCUGCCGUGUAACAAACGGCUGGUUCUAAAAGUAUUAGCUGAUCCUAGUAAGGUUUUGGUUCUUACUUGACGUGAUAAUUAUCUAACGUCAAGGACAUUUCUCACUUCACGGUGGGAGGUGGCCAGAGUUUUGCUAAGGAUUGCUUCUAAUGGUCUUCAUUUGACAACAUAUUCUUAAUCUGACCUCGAAUCAGGUGGGACUACCCGCUGAACUUAA